UGAGCAAUCUGCCCUUCUCUUCGGAAUAAGCGUUGGAAACGACGUCUAAUGCCGAAUACGACCUCCUUUCGCAUGAUCGGAGGUGGAAAGCUCCGGCGGAGAAGGAUGAGCUCGCGGCCUAUCAGCUAGUUGGUGUGGGUAAUGGCCCACCAAGGCGACGACGGGUAGCCGGCCUGAGAGGGUGACCGGCCACACUGGGACUGAGACACGGUCCAGACUCCUACGGGAGGNAG
rnacentral:rRNA from 1 species